GUCCCGCCUGCCCAGUGAACAAUUUUUCAACGGCCGCGGUAUCCUAACCGUGCAAAGGUAGCGUAAUCACUUGCCCCUUAAAUAGGGGCCUGUAUGAACGGCUAACUGAGGGCACACCUGUCUCCUGAUGCCAACUAAUGAAACUGAUCUUCUGGUACAAAAGCCAGGAUACACCCACAAGACGAGAAGACCCUGUGGAGCUUACAACCUAAUCACUACUAAUCACCACUUAAUCCUAGUGAGCGGUUUAAGUUGGGGCGACUACGGAGCAUAACAAACCCUCCAAGAAACCAGGCUAACCCCCCCCC
rnacentral:rRNA from 1 species